rnacentral:rRNA from 1 species
AGGACGAACGCUGGCGGCGUGCUUAACACAUGCAAGUCGAACGGUGACCUCGGAGCUUGCUCCGGGCGAUCAGUGGCGAACGGGUGAGUAACACGUGAGCAACCUGCCCCUGGCUCUGGGAUAACCCCGGGAAACCGGAGCUAAUACCGGAUACGAGACCGAAUGGCAUCUUUAACGGUCUGGAAAGUUUUUCGGCCAGGGAUGGGCUCGCGGCCUAUCAGCUUGUUGGCGGGGUAAUGGCCCACCAAGGCGACGACGGGUAGCCGGCCUGAGAGGGCGACCGGCCACACUGGGACUGAGACACGGCCCAGACUCCUACGGGAGGCAGCAGUGGGGAAUAUUGCGCAAUGGGCGAAAGCCUGACGCAGCGACGCCGCGUGAGGGAUGAAGGCCUUCGGGUUGUAAACCUCUUUCAGCAGGAAGAAGCGAAAGUGACGGUACCUGCAGAAGAAGCACCGGCUAACUACGUGUCAGCAGCCGC